GUGGGGUGGGGAGAGAAGUGGGGAGGGAGGAGAGGGGAGAGACGGGGCCAGACCCUGGAGGACUGGAGUGUUGGGUGGGAAGGGAAAGGGCGCGGCCCUCGCGGCCUGGUCCUACCCCCCACUACACUACAGCCUCUGCUGGAUGACCUGCGUGGGCCCUCCGUCUCCCGGCUGGGCUGGGGACAUCCCUCUAAGGACGGGAGGAAAGUCGAGGAGCCUGAGCCGCAGACCGGCUCUUUGCGUUCCUGUUCCAGCACUUACACGGCUGUAGCCUCCAAAUGGACUGCUCCUCUAGCUGUUCUCUGCCCAGCCCAUUUGUACACAGAGCUAGAUUUACGGAAAACACACCUCCAUCGUGACCCCACAACCUUCAGUUGCUCCACAUUCUGUGGAUGAGACGCCGUCCAGAGUAAAAUUCAAGCCUUCCCUUCAAAUUGAAUUGUACUGUCUUUUUUAUUAGUUAUUUAAUUCUGAGUCGUUCUGCAAGAUUAGGAAGAGAAGAUUAAAACAUGCAGUUCAUCACUAUAUAAUGCCUACUGACUCCUGGACUAACACUUUAACC
rnacentral:lncRNA from 1 species